rnacentral:ncRNA from 2 species
GCUUUCUUGUCGGAGUGCCUAGUGUUCAGCGUAUAUCAAGGUGAACACGGGCUGAGACCGUUUAUUCGGGAUCCGCAGAACCUGAUCGGGUUAAUACCCGCGAAGGGAACAAGAGUAAUCACUUC